AGUCUAGUCUUGAAACCAGGCUGCUAGAAUCCAGGUUCUAACAAUAUUUUCCUAGCCUCUUCUCUUUUCCUGAGUUCCAGCUUACUGACACUUGAUCCCAGUGGCCUUCUAAGACCUGCUGGCAGAAAAGGAGAAAUGCUGUACGAGGUUUAUGAAUAGGUCAGUUUGGUAUACAAACUGAAGCCCUAAGUGGACUGCUACUACUAUUGCAGGAACACAGCACACAAGAAAAGGUGUCUGUCUUUCCUGUGUAAUGGACAGGUUUUGAAUCGUGGGCCCAGAAGGAUUGUCUGAAUUAUAAGGAAUGUCCAUUUGUGCUUUAGCAACUUGAAGCUUCAGUGGAAAGAAUCAGAACAUAGAGAAAACUUGCUGCUAGGACAAAAAUGAAGGAAAGAAUCAUCCCAGGAUGGUGAUACCGGGGUUACAGGCUCACAGGCAGAAGGGACUUGGCCUUUCUCAGAGACAGAGUCUUGCUGUGUUGCCCAGGUUGUUCUCAAACACCUUUGGUCAAGCAAUCUUCCCGCCUCAGCCUCCUGAAGUACUGGGAUUACAAGUGCAAGCCACUAUGGUUGGCCCUUUCCAGCUUUAUUGAGCUAAGCUUUCUGGCCCCCAGAUCUGCACCUGACCUUUACCACCUCCUCAUCAUCCACUCUGGUCUGCACCCUCUUGACCGCGUCUGAGUCUCCUUUGGGGCUGGAUGUCUGCUUCAGCAUUAGGAAAUGGACACAUCUACAGAAUCUCUCAUGGCAACACACCAAGUAAUUUUCUGGGCAAUUUUAUACUUUUAUAAGAAUGAAAGAUGUUUUGAUUCCAAAACAUUCUGUCCUGUUCUCUAAUCAUUUUAGUCUUUUAAAGCAUAUUGUCUUGGAAUGGUUAAGAUGUUUUGCUCAUCAAUUUCUUUGUAGUCCAACAAUUUAUAACAAUAUUUCUAAAUUUCCAGAAAAAUGCUAUUGCGUUCUUUCUUUUCUGCAGUUCCUCACCAUUGUCACAGAGCCUGUGUUAGGGAAUUUAGUCAGAGAUUGUCACACAGGAUUUACUUUAGAAUCACCUGGGAAACUUUCAAAAAUUCCAGAGGCCUAGUAUCACUCCCAGAAAUAUGAUGUAAUUGGUCAGCACAGACUUAGACAUCAAUAAUUUUUAAAGAUCCCAGGUGAUUCUACCAUGCAGACAGAGAUGAGAAACACUGAAUUAGAUCAUUUCCAGAAGCCACAGAAUAAAAUGUAAACUCUUCUUCCAUUCUUUAGGUAUUGUAAACUUUGUCCUUUCAACAAGUUAUAUUACUAAAAAUCGACAAACUGAACUCACAUGAACGUGUACUUACAGAGUUGUGGCUCCUAAUUCUAUUUAAGGUAUGUUAAAGUAAAAGCAGUUAGAAUAUGGAAUAUUUUUUUCCCUUGAUUAUGCUAAAGAAAUAUUGGUGAGGAAUGUUGUGGCUCAUUUUUUGUUCUUUCUACAUUUUAUUUUGUAAAAAUUUAAAUAUUUAAUCAUGUUCUUCAGUCCUUUACCCAUUUUAAGUCUUUUAGUAAGGUUUUAUAACUUUAAACAUACAGAUACUGCAUAUUAUGUAUUAGGUUUAUUUUAACAUUUAACAGAGAUUUGUGACUAUUAUGAGUAUGUAAUAAAUUAUUACAAAUUCUAAUCAGUUACGCUGAUGUGGAAUAUUUUCAAGUGUUGAUCUUGUACCCAGUUAUCUUAUCCAAUAAUCUAUACUUUCAGUGAGCUCUAAUUUAUUUCUUGUAAGAUAAUAUUAUAAAAUGACAAAUUUGUAACCCUUCCAAGUCACUGAUUUCCGAUAUUUAUAUCUCCUUUUAUUUUUAAUUUUUCUUGUUCUUCAUAACUGUUUAAGAC